rnacentral:rRNA from 1 species
GAUGAACGCUAGCUACAGGCUUAACACAUGCAAGUCGAGGGGAAACGACAUCGAAAGCUUGCUUUUGAUGGGCGUCGACCGGCGCACGGGUGAGUAACGCGUAUCCAACCUGCCCACCACUUGGGGAUAACCUUGCGAAAGUAAGACUAAUACCCAAUGACGUCUCUAGAAGACAUCUGAAAGAGAUUAAAGAUUUAUCGGUGAUGGAUGGGGAUGCGUCCGAUUAGCUUGUUGGCGGGGUAACGGCCCACCAAGGCAACGAUCGGUAGGGGUUCUGAGAGGAAGGUCCCCCACAUUGGAACUGAGACACGGUCCAAACUCCUACGGGAGGCAGCAGUGAGGAAUAUUGGUCAAUGGGCGCGAGCCUGAACCAGGCCAAGUAGCGUGCAGGAUGACGGCCCCUAUGGGGUUGUAAACUGCUUUUANAAGGGAAUAAAGUGGGGCUCGUGAGCUCCUUUGCAUGUACCUUAUGAAUAGGACCGGCUAAUUCCCGUG